rnacentral:rRNA from 1 species
AACGAACGCUGGCGGCAGGCCUAACACAUGCAAGUCGAGCGGACCCUUCGGGGUUAGCGGCGGACGGGCGUGUACCGCGUGGGAACGUGCCCUUUGCUUCGGAAUAGUCCCGUGAAACUGGGCGUAAUACCGGAUACGCCCACUUGGGCUAAGAUCUCUUGGCGUAGGGUCGGCCCGCGUGGGAUUUGGUAGGUGGUGGGGUAAUGGCCUACAAAGCGGACGACCCAUAGCUGGUUUGAGAGCAUGGUCACCCACACUGGGGCUGAGACACGGCCCAGACUCCUACGGGAGGCAGCAGGGGGGAAUCUGAGACAAUGGGGGAAACCCGGAUCUAGCCAUGCCGCGUGAGCGAUGAAGGCCUUAGGGUUGUAAAGCUCUUUCACCGGGGAAGAUAAUGACGGUACCCGGAGAAGAAGCCCCGGCUAACUCCGUG